rnacentral:rRNA from 1 species
GACGAACGCUGGCGGCGUGCUUAACACAUGCAAGUCGAACGAUGAAGCCGGAGCUUGCUCUGGUGAAUUAGUGGCGAACGGGUGAGUAACACGUGAGUAACCUGCCCUUGACUCUGGGAUAACUGCGGGAAACUGUAGCUAAUACCGGAUACGACCCUCGGAGGCAUCUCCUGGGGGUGGAAAGAAUUUCGGGAAAGGAUGGGCUCGCGGCCUAUCAGCUAGUUGGGGAGGUAAAGGCUCACCAAGGCGACGACGGGUAGCCGGCCUGAGAGGGUGACCGGCCACACUGGGACUGAGACACGGCCCAGACUCCUACGGGAGGCAGCAGUGGGGAAUAUUGCACAAUGGGCGCAAGCCUGAUGCAGCAACGCCGCGUGAGGGAUGACGGCCUUCGGGUUGUAAACCUCUUUUAGCAGGGAAGAAGCGAAAGUGACGGUACCUGCAGAAAAAGCACCGGCUAACUACGUGCCAGCCGCCGCCGUAA